GUGAGUAACGCGUAUCCAACCUUCCGUACACUCAGGGAUAGCCUUUCGAAAGAAAGAUUAAUACCUGAUGGUAUGAUGAGAUUGCAUGAUAGCAUCAUUAAAGAUUUAUCGGUGUACGAUGGGGAUGCGUUCCAUUAGGUAGUAGGCGGGGUAACGGCCCACCUAGCCAACGAUGGAUAGGGGUUCUGAGAGGAAGGUCCCCCACAUUGGAACUGAGACACGGUCCAAACUCCUACGGGAGGCAGCAGUGAGGAAUAUUGGUCAAUGGACGAGAGUCUGAACCAGCCAAGUAGCGUGAAGGAUGAAGGUCCUACGGAUUGUAAACUUCUUUUAUAAGGGAAUAAACCCUCCCACGUGUGGGAGCUUGUAUGUACCUUAUGAAUAAGCAUCGGCUAACUCCGUGCCAGCAGCCGCGGUAAUACGGAGGAUGCGAGCGUUAUCCGGAUUUAUUGGGUUUAAAGGGAGCGCAGACGGGUCGUUAAGUCAGCUGUGAAAGUUUGGGGCUCAACCUUAAGAUUGCAGUUGAUACUGGCGUCCUUGAGUGCGGUUGAGGUGUGCGGAAUUCGUGGUGUAGCGGUGAAAUGCUUAGAUAUCACGAAGAACUCCGAUUGCGAAGGCAGCACACUAAUCCGUAACUG
rnacentral:rRNA from 1 species